AGAAACGGUUUUAUCCGGAAUUAUUGGGCGUAAAGCGCACGCAGGGGGGUGUUUUAGUUAGAUGUGAAAUCCCCGGGCUUAACCUGGGAAUGGCAUCUAAGACUGGUCAGCUAGAGUCUUGUAGAGGGGGGUAGAAUUCCAUGUGUAGCGGUGAAAUGCGUAGAGAUGUGGAGGAAUACCGGUGGCGAAGGCGACCCUCUGGACAAAGACUGACGCUCAGGUGCGAAAGCGUGGGGAGCAAACAGGAUUAGAUACCCUGGUAGUCCACGCUGUAAACGAUGUCGAUUUGAAGGUUGUUCCCUAGAGGAGUGGCUUUCGGAGCUAACGCGUUAAAUCGACCGCCUGGGGAGUACGGCCGCAAGGUUAAAACUCAAAUGAAUUGACGGGGGCCCGCACAAGCGGUGGAGCAUGUGGUUUAAUUCGAUGCAACGCGAAGAACCUUACCUACUCUUGACAUCCAGAGAAUUUAGCAGAGAUGCUUUAGUGCCUUCGGGAACUCUGAGACAGGUGCUGCAUGGCUGUCGUCAGCUCGUGUUGUGAAAUGUUGGGUUAAGUCCCGCAACGAGCGCAACCCUUAUCCUUUGUUGCCAGCGAUUCGGUCGGGAACUCAAAGGAGACUGCCGGUGAUAAACCGGAG
rnacentral:rRNA from 1 species